CCCCCUGGCUAAGAGUUUUAACUUGCGGGUCCAGUGGGGUAAGAGUCCGUCAGGGGGCAGGCAUGGCAGCACAUGUCAUGCAUGGCCGCGGAAGAACGGAGCCACGUGCCCACACCUGAAACAGUAGGCACAAAGCCGGAGAACAAACUGGAAGGGGUGGAGGCUUUUAAACCUCAAAGUCCACCCCUAGCAGCAGGGUUGUGACAUGUUUGCAGAGGAGGGAUCUGUGGGCAACCCUUCAGGUGGUCGUGGCAGGUAGGGGUGCAAGCCGCAAAGAAGUAAGCAUACGCAAACAAGUGAGAAUGAAAACUGUUCAGACUGAAGUCAUCAACCUGGAUCGUGACUGCAAGGAGUCUGAUGUCAGGCAGUUCGUUGUCAGCAAGUUUGAAACACAGUCAUGAACCCAGGGUCUCACAAUGCUAAUCAUAAUGAAAGCACGGAGAGGUUGUGAUCUGCAUCCUCACCCGUCUUCCCCUUGUUCCCUCAAAUGCACAUGACCCUUAAGUUCCCCCUUGUUGCUGAUCCUGUGUGCAGCACUGGAGAGAGCACCUGAAGUCCAGGCCCGGCCUCCGAGCACACCAGCACAUGCGCAUUACUAUAAUAAUUAGACAAUUAUCCAAGACCAGUGGACUUCCCCUCAUUCUUGGUCUUACCACAGCAAAACGCCAUGUGAGUCUGCAUCAGCAAAACACCACGUGAAUCUGUAUCACCUGACAUAUCCAGAGACUUCCACUCUAAGUGUCUUUCUUUCUUGCCUGUGGAUCCAGGUGUAGACCCCUCUGCUGCCUCGCCAGCAUCAUGUCUGCCUGUUUGCUAGCAUGCAUCCAGCCAAGCUGAUGAUGGACUGAAUGCCUGAAACUGUAAACAAGCCUCAAUUAAAUGCUUUCUUUUGUAAGUGUUGCCAUGGUCGUGUCUCUCAACUGCAAUAGAACAUUGACU